UACAGAGGUCUCAAGCGUUGUUCGGAUUCACUGGGCUUAAAGCGCGUGUAGGUGGCUUGGCACGUCUCUCGCUGAAAUCCCCUGGCUCAACCAGGGAAGUGGCGGGGAUACGACCAAGCUUGAGGGGGGUAGGGGGGACGGGAACUCACGGUGGAGCGGUGAAAUGCGUUGAGAUCGUGAGGAACGCCCGCGGCGAAAGCGCGUCCCUGGACCCCACCUGACACUGAGACGCGAAAGCCAGGGGAGCGAACGGG
rnacentral:rRNA from 1 species